CGCCAUUGCUGGCCUUUUCCCUUUUCUGCAGCCAUGGUGGAUGCCUGGGUCACUGGCCCCUUGGCAGCUAGGCCUCAGAAAGCAGCAGGCUCUGCCACAGACUCCCUGGAUGCUUUGGGAAGUCUGAGCUCCAAACGGGACCCCUUCCUCACCAGCUCAAUCAACAAGCAUAGAGCCUAGGGAGCACACAGGCCUCCACAGGGAACCCAGGAGCCGGAAGCUGUCUGAGCAGGGGGAUACCCUGCCGAUGAGGCUUCUCAGGGGACACCUACCCCCGCAUAUCACUCACCGCAGGAACCAGCGGUCUCCCAGGCCAUACUCCCGUCCGCAGAUCCCGGAGCGAGGCCACAGGCAGCGAGGCAGCUUCCGCUCCAGCAUCACUGUGGUGGCCACAAUCUGCGUAUGGGAACAAAAGGAGAAGUCAGAGAUGAGGCUGGGCGCAGACAGAGGUAGGGGUAGGGCAGCCUUUGUUGACCUUCUUCAGUGGGAGAGAGUUGAUAGAGCUUGAGACCAACAAUUCUUUACCCAAUGACCCAACAUCCAUGACGCAGCCAGGCCAGAGGCAGGAGAAAGACAGGAAGCAGAAGCCCCAUUCCCAGGAGCACAGGCACCAGAGAAAGCAAAUAGAAAGGGCUUUUAAGGGCUCCCAGAUAUUUUGACCCUACAGACAUAAAGGCCACUUAUAAAUAUAAACAUCCCACUUAGAAUAUCAAUAUAUAUUCCUGGAGAAAAUAUUUUUCUGAGUGAACCUUAUUUCCCAGCUUAGUUUUUCCACUCCGUUUUCUACACAGCAUAGUUAAAUGCCUUCCAGUUUGGGAAAUUUCCAUUAUUUUGCUGAAAUGAUUUUUUUAGAUAAAUUAUUUUCUAGGUGUUUUUUAAAUGAGGAUUUGAUUCAUCUCAUGGUCUUCUCUCCCUAUCUUGAAGAUCUGGCUGAAGAUAGCUUCUGCUACUAUAGGAAGUUUUGGUGGCAUUACUUUUUUAACACAUCCUGCUUUCCAUAUCAAAUUUUGCAGACUUAAAUAUUAUCAAGAAGACUUGAUACUCCAGUUUUUAUUUGGGAACAAAAUGUACUGAGUGCAAUUUUAGCCAACGUUAAUUUUCUUUUGAUUUAUUUCUUGUUGAUUCCUCUAGAAAACACUGAGCUUUUAACUGUUGAGAAAACUGUGAGGCAUUCUUCUCAGCGAUUCCAGUAUUGCCUGGUUGAAUUGCUAAUCAGUGCUUCUGUACAUUUUGCAUGAUUUUGCUAGCUUUGCCACAACUGUCCAAACAUAAGUGGGGUGGAGAUAUCCUGUCUCUCAGCUUGGCAGGUUCCUUGGUAGGAAGGGGAUGACUUGCCCUAACCCUCCCUGCCACCAGGGGGCUCACCUGGGCCCUCCACAGCUCAUCCCGCUCAUGGGCCACUCGCCAGUGAGUGUCGCCCAUCAUGGCAAUGAGGAGGUUGAGCAUGAGCAGUGUGGCGAUGAUGGCAAAGGCAGCAUAGGUGAUGCUGUACAUGAAGGGCAGGUCCACGUUGUAGUUGGCUGGGCCAUCGAUGAUGGUAAGGAACAGCUCGAAGGUGCUGAACAGGGCCAUGGGGUAGUCGUAGAAGUGGCCUAGCUCCUCGGGGUCCUCUGUCUGGAAGAUGAUAUAGAAGGCUGCUCCACCCAAGGGGGUGAGGGUUACCAUGGCAACCAUGCAGACGACCAGCCCACCCCGGGCUCUGCGUGCAUGUCCAUCCUGGUCCCUUCAUCUCAAUAUCACCAGCUCUGCAGUGCUCCAAACUUUGGGUUUUUACGGUCCCUAGUUUUGUAUGAGCCUCAUCUUGAUCCUAAGAGCCACCUCUCCCUAACACUCCCGAUUUUUCUCACCUCUGGAGGACGUCCCAUCCUCUGAUACCAUAGGUCUCCUCUGAUCUCUGCAUUACUCCUCCUCCCCAAGUUUAGCCAGAGCCAGUGCCCCCUAGACUUCCUCAUCUCUUCCCUGCCAUGGCCCCUGGUCCUGGACAGAUGAUUACCUGAAGCAAAGCCCAGGAUGACCACAGCCAUCAGCCAGCAGAAUCGCAUCAGGUCGCCAAAAAUCAUCUAGAAGGAGCAGGAGGCAGAGAACAUCUGCACACAUUCCCCAAGCAAUUGCCCCAUCCAGCCUCUAACAGGUCUCACCCCGACAAGUCUCACAGCUCCACCCUCUGGGACAGGGAUUGGCUAUCUAUGGCCUGUGGACCAGAUCUACCUGACCUGCUUUGGUGUGGCCUUUGAACUGAAAAGGGUUUCUACAUUUUUUAAAAGGAUUGUUAAAAAAGAAGAAAAACAUGCAGUGAGGCCAUGUGUGGCUUGCAGAA
rnacentral:lncRNA from 1 species